UGUGAGCUCGAUGAGUAGGGCGGGACACGUGGUAUCCUGUCUGAAUAUGGGGGGACCAUCCUCCAAGGCUAAAUACUCCUGACUGACCGAUAGUGAACCAGUACCGUGAGGGAAAGGCGAAAAGAACCCCGGCGAGGGGAGUGAAAAAGAACCUGAAACCGUGUACGUACAAGCAGUGGGAGCACGCUUAGGCGUGUGACUGCGUACCUUUUGUAUAAUGGGUCAGCGACUUAUAUUCUGUAGCAAGGUUAACCGAAUAGGGGAGCCGAAGGGAAACCGAGUCUUAACUGGGCGUUAAGUUGCAGGGUAUAGACCCGAAACCCGGUGAUCUAGCCAUGGGCAGGUUGAAGGUUGGGUAACACUAACUGGAGGACCGAACCGACUAAUGUUGAAAAAUUAGCGGAUGACUUGUGGCUGGGGGUGAAAGGCCAAUCAAACCGGGAGAUAGCUGGUUCUCCCCGAAAGCUAUUUAGGUAGCGCCUCGUGAAUUCAUCUCCGGGGGUAGAGCACUGUUUCGGCAAGGGGGUCAUCCCGACUUACCAACCCGAUGCAAACUGCGAAUACCGGAGAAUGUUAUCACGGGAGACACACGGCGGGUGCUAACGUCCGUCGUGAAGAGGGAAACAACCCAGACCGCCAGCUAAGGUCCCAAAGUCAUGGUUAAGUGGGAAACGAUGUGGGAAGGCCCAGACAGCCAGGAUGUUGGCUUAGAAGCAGCCAUCAUUUAAAGAAAGCGUAAUAGCUCACUGGUCGAGUCGGCCUGCGCGGAAGAUGUAACGGGGCUAAACCAUGCACCGAAGCUGCGGCAGCGACGCUUAUGCGUUGUUGGGUAGGGGAGCGUUCUGUAAGCCUGUGAAGGUGUGCUGUGAGGCAUGCUGGAGGUAUCAGAAGUGCGAAUGCUGACAUAAGUAACGAUAAAGCGGGUGAAAAGCCCGCUCGCCGGAAGACCAAGGGUUCCUGUCCAACGUUAAUCGGGGCAGGGUGAGUCGACCCCUAAGGCGAGGCCGAAAGGCGUAGUCGAUGGGAAACAGGUUAAUAUUCCUGUACUUGGUGUUACUGCGAAGGGGGGACGGAGAAGGCUAUGUUGGCCGGGCGACGGUUGUCCCGGUUUAAGCGUGUAGGCUGGUUUUCCAGGCAAAUCCGGAAAAUCAAGGCUGAGGCGUGAUGACGAGGCACUACGGUGCUGAAGCAACAAAUGCCCUGCUUCCAGGAAAAGCCUCUAAGCAUCAGGUAACAUCAAAUCGUACCCCAAACCGACACAGGUGGUCAGGUAGAGAAUACCAAGGCGCUUGAGAGAACUCGGGUGAAGGAACUAGGCAAAAUGGUGCCGUAACUUCGGGAGAAGGCACGCUGAUAUGUAGGUGAAGUCCCUUGCGGAUGGAGCUGAAAUCAGUCGAAGAUACCAGCUGGCUGCAACUGUUUAUUAAAAACACAGCACUGUGCAAACACGAAAGUGGACGUAUACGGUGUGACGCCUGCCCGGUGCCGGAAGGUUAAUUGAUGGGGUCAGCGCAAGCGAAGCUCUUGAUCGAAGCCCCGGUAAACGGCGGCCGUAACUAUAACGGUCCUAAGGUAGCGAAAUUCCUUGUCGGGUAAGUUCCGACCUGCACGAAUGGCGUAAUGAUGGCCAGGCUGUCUCCACCCGAGACUCAGUGAAAUUGAACUCGCUGUGAAGAUGCAGUGUACCCGCGGCAAGACGGAAAGACCCCGUGAACCUUUACUAUAGCUUGACACUGAACAUUGAGCCUUGAUGUGUAGGAUAGGUGGGAGGCUUUGAAGUGUGGACGCCAGUCUGCAUGGAGCCGACCUUGAAAUACCACCCUU
rnacentral:rRNA from 1 species